rnacentral:rRNA from 1 species
GACGAACGCUGGCGGCGUGCUUAACACAUGCAAGUCGAACGGUAAGGCCCUUUCGGGGGUACACGAGUGGCGCACGGGUGAGUAACACGUGGGUGAUCUGCCCUGCACUUUGGGAUAAGACUGGGAAACUGGGUCUAAUACCGGAUAGGACUACGUGAUGCAUGUCGUGUGGUGGAAAGCUUUUGCGGUGUGGGAUGGGCCCGCGGCCUAUCAGCUUGUUGGUGGGGUGAUGGCCUACCAAGGGGACGACGGGUAGCCGGCCUGAGAGGGUGUCCGGCCACACUGCGACUGAGAUACGGCCCAGACUGCAACGGGAGGCAGCAGUGGGAAAUAUUGCACAAUGGGCGCAAGCCUGAUGCAGCGACGCCGCGUGGGGGAUAACGGCCUUCGGGUUGUAAACCCCUUUCAGCACAGACGAAGCGUAAGUGACGGUAUGUGCAGAAGAAGCACCGGCCAACUACGUG